CAGUUGUUGCGAAAUAACUAUCUUUAAUCGUAUAUAAAGAUUAAGAAGGAUUGAAACUGCAUCAACGUUUCAAGGAUACAGACAUCCAACAGCUUUUUCACUUCUUUACCAGACACAUCAAUGGACUGCCUGUCUGCCUUAACUGUGAUUGUUUGUCUUUUAUUUACUAGUUUUGUCAUGCAAGGAGCGUGUGCCAACGAUUGUAUUCCACCAAAAAUAGUGU